UUAUAAGACGAGAAGACCCCAUGGAGCUUUAAACCCAAUUAUAUCUCUAACCACUAUAACCAUUUAACCACUUAGAACUUAUAUACUUGGUUUUAGGUUGGGGCGACCACGGAGCACAACCAAACCUCCACGAUGAACGGAACAACCCCCUUAUCUGAGAAUUACACUUCUAAGAAUUAGCACACUAACAUAAAAUGACCCAUUAUUGAUCAACGAACCAAGUUACCCUGGG
rnacentral:rRNA from 1 species